rnacentral:rRNA from 1 species
CCUACGGGUGGCAGCAGUGAGGAAUAUUGCUCAAUGGACGAGAGUCUGAACCAGCCACGUAGCGUGAAUGAUGACUGCCCUCUGGGUUGUAAACUUCUUUGAUAGGGGAGUAGAACGUUCCACGUAUGGGCUUUUGUAUGUACCAUAUGAAUAAGAAUCGGCUAACUCCUUGCCAGCAGCCGCGGUAAUACGGAGGAUACGAGCGUUAUCCGGAUUUAUUGGGUUUAAAGGGAGCGUAGGUGGAUUGUUAAGUCAGUUGUGAAAGUUUGCGGCUCAACCGUAAAAUUGCAGUUGAGACUGGCUGGCGUGAGUACAGUAGAGGUGGGUGGAAUUCGUGGUGUAGCGGUGAAAUGCUUAGAUAUCACGAAGAACCCCGAUGGCGAAGGCAGCC